ACCCUUCAGACCCCUGACCCACCCAACCUAAACCCUGGCCGCAGUGGUUACACACGGAGGAAAAGUGUCAUCGAAACAGACUUAAAUUUCUUUUGUGACACAAAAGAAAAACGCUGGUUUCCAAAGAUA
rnacentral:snoRNA from 1 species